CUGUCAAAAGACAAAUUCUGCUCCCAGUGACCUGGGCUUUGCCACGUGUGGCUUUGAGGCUUUCCAGAUCUCAGUGCCAAAUUGCUUAUGCUAUUUUUAUGUUGAUUGCAAAUGUCUCUGUUUUAUUAAGGUUUUGGCAGUAGCUAACCUGAAGAAGUUGUCAGAAGUCACUUUAUCCCGGUAGCUCCCUCAGCACUUGCUGCUUUGGUUUAUUUAUUACCUGCCCACAUCCAGGCUUUCAAACAAAAGCUCGCUCCUCGGUGAGUGGUUUUUACUUUGUGUGUGGUUGGGUUUUGACUUCGCCUCUUGAUUUCUGUCCACUUCAUAACCAAUGUUAAAUAAAUCCUUAGGAAGCAAAUUAAACAUCCUUGUGAACUGCAUUCUUGUUCUCACCUGGCGAACACGAGGGAAAAGAAGAGUUUGUUUGCUCUUUCCUGCCCUGGCCAGCUCUCAGCCAAGAUGGACAACUAGAGCUCCCCGAGUGCAGAGCAGUUUAAAGGUUUCUGAAGCUCCUCCUUGGAUUCGUUUGCAAAUAGUGGUUAUCCUGCGGGGCUCUCCGAGGUGUGGGUGAGCUACAGGAGGAGCUGCAGGGAGCAGCGAUCCCAGCCUGUGGUGCCUUCGCCCUUCUGAGGAGGAUUUCAGCUGUAAGGACUUUCUGAUUACAAGAAGAAUCUGCCCACGUGUCACAGGGGGUUUCAUGGGGCGAGAACUUCUUGACGCUUGCAGCAGUUAAAGGAAGUAAAGCACAAAAAUGUGGCUGCCAAAGUACUUUGCCCAAUAGAAAUCUUCUCAGAUUUGCAGAGCGUGGCUAGACAAUAAUCCUGGUGUUUUGUUACAUUAAUUAUGAGGCAUCUGCCUUCGUAUGCAGCCCUAACUGCCUUCGGGGUAAUUAAAAUUUUAUUAAAGAAAUGAGGAGGAGUAAAGGGAAUAUUUUAUUUGGAGCUGGGGCAGCAUUGAGUCUUCAGGGUGCCACUGAAAACAUGAAGCUGGUUGGCUCGGUGCAAUAUCACAGCCUGUACGUCCUGCUUUGGUUUUUUAUUUAUUUUAAUUUAGGGUGUCAAAAGCCUCGGAAUGCAGUUACAGCGCAAAGCAGAGGUGUCUGGAGAGAACCAUGUUAUGGUAUCCUUUAAAAAAACACACCAUAUAUAUCUCCGUCGCUGAUCUGGCAGGAUUACGGUCCUCAGGGAAGGCAAAUUGUUUUUCCUGAGCUAACAAGAGUGAAGUUGUUGAGGCGUGGAGUCGUGAUGUUGCUCAGGAUGCGUGCAGUACCGACAGGCAGGCACAGCAUUUUCUGGCCUUUGGGAAGUUUUUAUUAGCCAACAGGAAAGUGCUCAAUUCCCUUCUAGUAGAGAUGUUUCAGGAAGAACCUGGUAGUGGAAAGGAGACCUGCAGAUUUUGGGAGGCUUCAUCCCCAAAGUGGCUGUUAAUAAAACCCGCCAAAGAAGUGCGUGUCUGGUGUUUUGGGAGAUGAUGAAGUCUGUGAGCUAUCUUCCAGCAGAGGACAUGACUUAUGAAAGAAUUCACCUCUAAAUUCUCUGAACUUCUGAACUUCACACUUCAGAGAUCUCAUCUGAAAACGCAACAUCACUUUAGCACUACCAAGUCCCGGUAGCACAAAGCUGUGUCCUAUAUUUCAGUCCCCGUGAGCCUGGAGAUUUCCUUUCGUGUUUCACUGUCCCAGCUGAUGACUUGGCAAAGCGCUGCCCUUUGUGUUCCUCAAAUGUUGGUCUGACAAACGUGAAGAGAAAAUGGAGGAGAAAACCUCCGGCUCUCAUUUUAGCAGAUUUUUGUGCUUGUAGAAAUGUAUAGAGAAAGAAAACAUGUCUUCCCUGUAGGUACGUCAGCUUGGACUAUGGCUUUUUCUUGGCAGAUAAUGAUUGCAGAAAACCGUUUUUCUGAGGCUUGUAGCCACGUUACAGUACUGUCUGCUGCUUUGGUCUCGACUCUGGUGGCAUCAACGUUUCCAGUGUAAACUCCAGCUUCAGGAGUGGGCAAGUGUGCCGUCAGCGUUCCCUCUGCACCAAGGGAAUCCUUUGUAGAAGAAAGGAUUAAGUUUCUCUUCUUGUAAAAGGCUUCUGUUAGAUAUGUGGUUGCUAUCUUACACGCUCAUGCCUUAAAGAUGCCGCUGUGAGAGCCCGUAGCUGGAGCUUUCAUUAAAAUGAGCUUUGCAAGAACUGUUGUGUGAGUGGGUGGCUGUAUCCUAGGGGAAAACCCAAAACUGCCUUCAAAGUGCAUCUGUAUGGAGCACGUGGUACUUGCACGCUUAAACAAUAACAAGCCUAAAAAACAUGAAGCCCUUUGACCAAAUUCCUCCUUCAAAUGUCCCUACAAGCGCUUUCACAGACUUCACUGAAAAGCUGAGUCAGAAAUGGAAGAUUUGGCCCCACACCAUGGCUCGUUGUUGCCAGUUCUGGACCAACGCAAGUGGAGUCAACCAUUUACAACGGCGACAGGUCAUCGUAUUCUUUGCCAUAAAGAACAGAGCACAACAUCUCGUUGGUUGGCUUUCCAUCCCGACAAACCAACCUCUAUUUACGUCUGUUUUUAUGCUCUUUUGCCAGUUUUUCCUCUAUUAGAAAUAUGCUAAAAGCAUAAGGCCGUAACCCAACACUUCCUUCAGCCACGCACAAUACAGCAAGAAGUCAGUGUGGAGAGAGGACGUGAACGAAGGCAGGGAGGCCAGCAGGGGCUUUGGGUUUCAUUUUGGUGCAUUUCUGCUUGUCCUUGAAGCCUGCCCAGCUACAUGUUCUGUCCCACAAGCGUUCAUUUCUCUUCCCUGUCCCAGAACCUCUUUGCUUUAGCAUAAGGUCUGCGUGGUGGAGCGGAGGGAACAUGGGGGUGGGCAGAAACUUGCUGGUCUUUAACUGCAGUUACUCAACUACAGAAUUAUUCUUCAUAGGAACUGCUUUAGGAGGUUUAGCUAUACAAUUUCAGUGAUUGUAUUGUGAGCCUUGAAAGGAUGUUGCUGGAGGCUUCAAGCUUUGCAUUUUUCUAAGAAGUGUCAGAAAAUUGCUGAAAAGCCCAGGGACUCAGAGUAUGUUCAGCUGCGCCUCUACUUAGGUCUGAGAAGUAAGUGGAAGAAGUGCUUAAGCUCUUCCUUUGUGUUCCAAGAAAAGCAGAGGGUCUGAGAAACCUUUAUUUAAGGAUCCCUUAGUUUAAUUACACUCGCACAGUUGAUGGAGUUCAGAACCAGAAUACAUUCCUUUUUGAGAUGGGCCCUCUUGCUUCUUCAGGCACUCCAGACCUUCGUUGUGUCAGCGGCUCAACUCCCCCGUUACUGAGAAGCAAUUUUGAAGUUUCUCUUCAAAGAGAUGGUUCUCUUCCCAUUCGUAAUGCGCUCUGCUGUGCGAGCUGAGCGUCCUGCCUCCUGUUCUCCUGCUGUACGUGUAAUGGCAGAGGAAGUUUAGGUUUCUGGGAGAUGGUGGUGGGCGGCUACCACUAGAAAUGCCUCAAAAAGAGCUUUAUUCUUCAUGGGUGAGGACGUUUUGAUGAGAUGCGUUGCCUUUUAAUGGUCAAACCUCACCUUUUGUCAUCUUUGCCUGCAAAGGCAACCUGUGGGAGGCAGCGGCCGCAGCAGUGGAAGGAGAGGAGAUGAGGAGAUAUUUCCUGGCGAGAGCAGCAGUGCGACGCCAGGGCUGAGCACCGGGCGCGAUCUGAGGACCGGGUGCCGCUGUGCUCGCCCUCGGAGGGGCAGCAGACGAGGAGGAGCGAGGCGAGGGGCGCAGAAAUUCAGAGACAUUCGCACGCUGACAGCGCAGUGAUCUUGGUUGGGUCUUCUCCAGCACCCCAUGUUACCUUGCCGGGGGAGGUUUGCCUUUCCGUGCUGCUCUCCGCGUGGCGUUGGAAGGGACUGCCAGGAGAAGCAAUUCUUCCGUGUUGUCCAACAUACAUCCAAACGUCUCGGUGGUGGCUGAAGGAGCUGCUACGUUAGAGGGUUUUCUCCGUCAGCAGGCACAUUUCUAUAAAUCUCAGCCUUUGAAAAUUACAUUUUGCACAGAGUGUCGGAAUAUGUAGCCGUGAGAACAUAACGAACCUUAUUUUUGUCUGCAUUUAUAACCGAUGCGUGUAGCAGGAAGCCGAAAUCAUAAUUUUAUCUUUCCCCGUUGCCCACUGAAGCUGUCAAACUCCACUCGCUAAAAGCAUCUGUGCUUCUGGGGUAACUGCUGCAAGGGCUGGUUCCAGCCCUGCUGCCAGGAGCCCUUUUGCUGCCUCCACCGGGAGAAAAUCCACGUCCACGCCACGUGCCGAUGCCCACGGCCUGCUGGAGUGCUCGGCACCUCCUGCUGAUGGCCACCAGCAGCCUCACCCCGGCCACCACCUCUGGGUGCCUCUGCUGGGUGCUUGCCACGUGCUAAGGGGCAGAAAGCCGUGCAGGCAAGGAGGGAGUGCUCGAGGCAGGAAAAAACAGAUGGAGGCUGGAGGCUGUGCUCGUCCGCAUCCGCUCUCCGGAGCAGAAGGCAUUGUUUAUCGCUGGAAGCACGAUGACUUUGUGGUUCUUUGUAACGGGACGCGUUCGCUGGGGGCUGUUCUGCAAAUAUUCCCCAUCGGUGUGAUAGAUAGAAGGCUGACAACUGCGGCUUAGCACUGCUGACGCUGGUGUUUCAGCCGGUGCUGGUGCUGCUAAAACCCUGCUCCCGUGCCUCUGAGGGCAGAACCCCUCUGUGCAGCGCCCGUGGUGCCAAAGGCAAGGUGCCUUCCCUCGGGGAGAGGAUGAAAAUGAACCUGGCAGAGGUGUAAGGGAACCUAACCAGGGUUACUUGGCAGGCACGCCGCUGCAGCGACAAACGUGCUGUGGGUUGCUGCGCGUGGGGUGUUAAUUACUUGUUUUAAGCUCGUUGUUUUGCAGACCUUCGCUGCUCGGGGCCCAUGCUGGAUGGUGUUGGCAGGUUUCUGAG